rnacentral:lncRNA from 1 species
CCGUCGUGGGGUCUCUCCCCGUUCGGGCCGCUCCCCUAUUUCCUUUCAUGGUCAUUCUAACCUGGCGCCACACUCUCUUCAAAAAGGUUUCACUAUAUCCGUGUUGCUUCCCUACCGUGACCAUGACCAUGAAUGACCAUGAAAGGAAAUGGGGGAGCGGCUCGAACGGGGAGGGACUUUAUGAUGGUCCCGCACCGUAUGGGUGAUCUUGAUGUGGUGCGUAAGAUUGCUAGGAGGAGUGGGGGACGGAUGGCAUAUGAGGGAGGUCCAGCGAUCUUUGGCGUUGUCGGGGGUGAGAGGGGCCGGAGAGCGCAGAACGGGGAACAGGGAGUGUGUCGGAUACCGUUGAUGGAUAGUGAUACAAAUGAGGAGUUGGCG